CGAGAGUGAGAGUCCGUGAAAGCUCACCAUAGUACACUUCUGCCUUUUUUGUCUCUCUUUCUUCCUUCCUUAAUUCCAAAUUUCUGCACAGCUCAUACCAAAUUAACUGCACAUUAUAGUCAUUUCUCUGUUAAUUCUCUCUUCGCUCCUACUACUACAUUGUGCUUGUCUUGUUCAGCGUUUCUUGAAUUAACGGUUACUUGAUGGGCUGCUCCACCUCCAGAAUUGACCAUCUCCCGGCGGUGUCCCUUUGUCACGACCGCUGCAAGUUCCUCGACGAAGCGCUCUAUCAAAGCUAUGCCCUUGCCGAUGCUCAUGUCGCCUACAUGCAAUCCCUCAAGGCUCUUGGCCCGUCUCUCUGCCGUUUCUUUGAUCAAAACCUUGGUACUAAUAAUCACUCCAACUGUGAUUCCCUUGCCACUAGGCCUAAUCCCUCCAAGUCUUCUCCUUCACCUGAUCACUAUCCCUCGAGUUCAAACUCUGAGCCGCACCUCGAUUUUCCUUCUGAUUCAGAGGACGAUGAAUUUAAGGACACAGAUUUUGAUCUUCUUCACCGAAUUCACCCCAAUUAUUUUGACCGCCAAACCCCGACUCCAUCCAUAUCAGAUUCAUAUUCUUAUAGUGACCAUAAUAAGUUCCAUCAUUGCGCAAAUAAUGGCAGCCUGUUUCAUUCUCGUGAGUCUCCUUACGGUGUAUCCUCUCCAGACGGUGGUUCCGCUUGGAAAACACCCUCGCCUCCUCCUCCCAGUGGCUCCACUUGGGAGUUCUUGAAUGUCUUCGAUACAUAUGAGAGCUAUGAAUUACCGAUUAAGGAUAAAGAAGGGAUUCAUGAGCUUAAAGAUAAACUAGAGAAUAAAAUUAGUGGAGAUUCAGUGAAUUUGGAGGGAGAGCAGAAACCAAGUAAAAAAAAAAUGACGGUACAAAGCGGUGAUGUGAAGCUGUAUGAGGUUCAUGUGGUGCAUACGAAUGUUAUAUCGGAGAAAGAGAAGAAAGAUUGGGCCGAGUCGAAGAAUCAAAGCAUCCCUGAGGUUAUGAGGGAACUGGAGGCUCUCUUUGAGAGAGCUUCAGAUUCAGGAAAUCAAGUAUUAAAGAUCCUUGAUACAGGAAAAUUCCGCUACUAUCGCAAGAAUUCUAUCUAUCAAGGUGAAUUUCUCCAUUUUUGAGCAUCGAUUUUCUUGUUUUCUCUGUUUUCAGAUGUUGUUCAAAGUAAAUCUGAUUGUUCUUUGUUCCUAUAGGAGUUCCUUCCAAGAUGCUGCAUGCGUUGACCCCAUCCUUCCUGGUGAUACCUUCUAAAAAUACCGAGUCCUCGUCUACAGAGAAGAUUGGCUCUCUUGGUCUGGGCUUUGAUGAAGAUUUGGCUGUGAUUUCAUUGAAUUUGUCUUCCACUCUCAAGAAGCUAUGCAUGUGGGAGAAGAAACUAUAUGAUGAAGUCAAGGCUGAGGAAAAAUUGCGUGUUAUGAUUGCAAGGAACUAUAGGCAGAUGAAAAAUAGUGGCAUGAAAGGUGCAGACGCAAAAGAAGUUGAUUCUGCUCGAACUUUAGUCAGGGCAUUAUCUACUAAAAUCAAAGUUGCAAUUCAAGUUAUUGACAGAACAUCGAUUGCUAUCAAUAAGCUAAGGGAUGAAGAAUUGUGGCCACUAAUUGGUGAACUGAUUCAAAAGUUACUUGAAAUGUGGAAAGCCAUGCUAGAAUGCCACAGGAGUCAAUCCCAAGCAGUUGUGGAAACUAGAGGUUUAGAUGCCAUUUUAUCCAAUGGAAAGUUCAGUGAAAUUCAUUUGGAAGCAGGAAUACAACUGAAGAUUGAAAUUCAGAACUGUAAUCUGAGCUUUUCCAAUUGGAUCAGUGCCCAGAAAGGCUAUGUCAAGGCCUUGAAUGGAUGGCUUCUAAAAUGUCUUCCACACGAACCUGAAGAAAUGCCUGAUGAAACGGAACCAUUCUCUUCUGGUAAGGCAGGGGUGCCUCCUGUGUUUGCGCUCUUUAACCAGUGGUCACAUGCCUUGGGUUUAGUCUCAGAGAUGGAAGUGAUUAACUCCAUGUACGGAUUUUUCAUGAGUAUAAAUCAAUUAGUAGAAAGGCAUUAUAUAUACUUGCAGCAAAGACUGACAGCAGACAAGGAUUUGGAGAAAAGAAUAAAGAUCCUAGAGAGAGAGGAGAAGAGGAUGCAAAAGGUAAUGCAAGCUCAAGGGAAGAAGAUGUUUCUAGCCAGUGGGGAUGCAAGAGGCACCCCUUUCCUUGGAGGGGCUGUGUGUCAGAGUGAGAUUACCAACAGGAGUAGUCUUCAAUCUAAUCUGAAACAAAUAUUCAUCGCCAUAGAGAAAUUCUCCGCCAACAGUGUGCAAGUUUAUGAGGAACUUCAUGUGCAUGUUGAAGAAUGCAGCCCUACUCGAGGAGGGAAGCCAGAAGAUCCUU
rnacentral:misc_RNA from 1 species